rnacentral:rRNA from 1 species
UACGUAGGGUGCAAGCGUUGUCCGGAAUUAUUGGGCGUAAAGAGCUCGUAGGCGGUUUGUCGCGUCUGCUGUGAAAACCCGAGGCUCAACCUCGGGCCUGCAGUGGGUACGGGCAGACUAGAGUGCGGUAGGGGAGAUUGGAAUUCCUGGUGUAGCGGUGGAAUGCGCAGAUAUCGAGGAGGAACACCAAUGGCGAAGGCAGAUCUCUGGGCCGUAACUGACGCUGAGGAGCGAAAGCGUGGGGAGCGAACAGG